rnacentral:rRNA from 1 species
AAUAGAUACCCGGGUAGUCCACGCCGUAAACGAUGAGUGCUAAGUGUUAGAGGGUUUCCGCCCUUUAGUGCUGCAGCUAACGCAUUAAGCACUCCGCCUGGGGAGUACGGCCGCAAGGCUGAAACUCAAAGGAAUUGACGGGGGCCCGCACAAGCGGUGGAGCAUGUGGUUUAAUUCGAAGCAACGCGAAGAACCUUACCAGGUCUUGACAUCCUCUGCCAACCCUAGAGAUAGGGCGUUCCCCUUCGGGGGACAGAGUGACAGGUGGUGCAUGGUUGUCGUCAGCUCGUGUCGUGAGAUGUUGGGUUAAGUCCCGCAACGAGCGCAACCCUUGAUCUUAGUUGCCAGCAUUCAGUUGGGCACUCUAAGGUGACUGCCGGUGACAAACCGGAGGAAGGUGGGGAUGACGUCAAAUCAUCAUGCCCCUUAUGACCUGGGCUACACACGUGCUACAAUGGAUGGUACAAAGAGCUGCGAACCCGCGAGGGUAAGCCAAUCUCAUAAAGCCAUUCUCAGUUCGGA